GACGAACGCUGGCGGCGUGCUUAACACAUGCAAGUCGAACGGAAAGGCCCUGCUUUUGUGGGGUUCUCGAGUGGCGAACGGGUGAGUAACACGUGAGUAACCUGCCCUUGACUGUGUGAGAACUUCAGGGAACUGGGGCUAAUACCGGAUAGGAGCUCCUGCUGCAUGUUGGUGGUUGGAAAGUGUCGGCUGUUGGGGAUGGACUCGCGGCUUAUCAGCUUGUUUGUGGGGUAGGGGCUUACCAAGGCUUUGACGGGUAGCCGGCCUGGGAGGGUUGACGGCCACAUUGGGACUGCGAUACGGACCAGAAUGCUAUGGGAGGCAGCAGGGGGGAAUAUUGCAGAAUGGGCGGAAGCGUGAUGCAGAAACGCCGCGUGCGGGAAGACGGGCUUCGGGUUGUAAACAGCUUUGUAAUGUGCCGAAGCGUGAGUGACGGUAAUGGGUCAAGAAGCACCGGCUAACUACGUG
rnacentral:rRNA from 1 species